rnacentral:misc_RNA from 1 species
GUGAAUCAUCAAAUUUUUGAACGCAAAUUGCGCUUCCUGGUAUCCCGGGAAGUAUGCCUGUUUGAGGGUCAGUAUUAACAAAAAAUCGGUUUGGUUGCAAAUUGUGACGUUUCCGGAGUUUGGGCUUAUCUUAACUUUUUUGUUUAGGGGCUUAAAGUUGACCUUUUUUUCGGAUUUUUAGACGUUCAUUAAUUUUUUUUUAUUCGUCUUUUCUUAAUUCCAAAAUUUUAUUAUAUGCUAUUACAUUGU